rnacentral:rRNA from 1 species
CCUACGGGUGGCAGCAGUGAGGAAUAUUGGUCAAUGGGCGCGAGCCUGAACCAGCCAAGCCGCGUGAGGGAAGACGGUCCUAUGGAUUGUAAACCUCUUUUGUCGGGGAGCAAAAGACGCUACGCGUGGCGUUCCGAGAGUACCCGACGAAAAAGCAUCGGCUAACUCCGUGCCACCAGCCGCGGUACUACGGAGGAUGCGAGCGUUAGCCGGAUUUAUUGGGUUAAAGGGGUGCGCAGGCGGAAGAUUAAGUCAGCGGUAAAAUUGAGAGGCUCAACCUCUUCGAGCCGUUGAAACUGGUUUACUUGAGUGAGUGAGAGGUAUGCGGAAUGCGUGGUGUAGCGGUGAAAUGCAUAGAGAUCACGCAGAACACCGAUUGCGAAGGCAGCAUACCGGCGCUCAACUGACGCUGAUGCACGAAAGUGUGGGUAUCGAACAGGAUUAGAUACCCGGGUAGUC